rnacentral:rRNA from 1 species
CCCCUAAGGCGAGGCCGAAAGGCGUAGUCGAUGGGAAACGGGUUAAUAUUCCCGUACUUCUUACAAUUGCGAUGGGGGGACGGAGAAGGCUAGGUGGGCCUGGCGACGGUUGUCCAGGUUCAAGUGCGUAGGCUUAAGAGUUAGGUAAAUCCGGCUCUUUUUAAGGCUGAGACACGACGUCGAGCAUCUACGGAUGUGAAGUCAUUGAUGCCAUGCUUCCAGGAAAAGCCUCUAAGCUUCAGAUUGUAAGGAAUCGUACCCCAAACCGACACAGGUGGUCGGGUAGAGAAUACCAAGGCGCUUGAGAGAACUCGGGUGAAGGAACUAGGCAAAAUGGUACCGUAACUUCGGGAGAAGGUACGCUCUUGAUGGUGAAGUCCCUUGCGGAUGGAGCUGACGAGAGUCGCAGAUACCAGGUGGCUGCAACUGUUUAUUAAAAACACAGCACUGUGCAAAAUCGUAAGAUGACGUAUACGGUGUGACGCCUGCCCGGUGCCGGAAGGUUAAUUGAUGGGGUUAGACUUCGGUCGAAGCUCUUGAUCGAAGCCCCGGUAAACGGCGGCCGUAACUAUAACGGUCCUAAGGUAGCGAAAUUCCUUGUCGGGUAAGUUCCGACCUGCACGAAUGGCGUAAUGAUGGCCACGCUGUCUCCACCCGAGACUCAGUGAAAUUGAAAUCGCUGUGAAGAUGCAGUGUACCCGCGGCUAGACGGAAAGACCCCGUGAACCUUUACUACAGCUUGGCACUGAACAUUGACCCUACAUGUGUAGGAUAGGUGGGAGGCUUUGAAGCACGUACGCCAGUAUG